CGCUAGCGGCGCGCUUAACGCAUGCAAGUCGAGCGAUGAGGCUCCCUUCGGGGAGUACAUCAGCGGCAGACGGGUGAGUAACACGUAGGUAACCUGCCCUCAAGACGGGGAUAACGCCUGGAAACGGGCGCUAAUACCGGAUGACCUUAGUUGGGGAAGAUCCGAUUAAGGAAAGGCUAUGGCGCUUGAGGAGGGGCCUGCGGCCCAUCAGUUAGUUGGUAGGGUAACGGCCUACCAAGGCGAAGACGGGUAGGGGGUGUGAGAGCACGGCCCCCCACACUGGGACUGAGACACGGCCCAGACUCCUACGGGAGGCAGCAGCGGGGAAUAUUGCGCAAUGGACGGAAGUCAGACGCAGCGACGCCGCGUGGGUGAAGAAGGCCUUCGGGUUGUAAAGCCCUUUUCUGAGGGAAGAGAAAGGACGGUACCUUAGGAAUAAGCGUCGGCUAACUACGUGCCAGCAGCCGCGGUAAGACGUAGGACGCGAGCGUUAUCCGGAUUUACUGGGCGUAAAGCGUGUGUAGGCGGCGUGACAAGUUGGGCGUGAAAGCCCCGUGCUCAACGCGGGGAGGCCGCACAAUACUGUCAGGCUAGAGGGCACCAGAGGGGUGUGGAAUUCCCGGAGUAGCGGUAAAAUGCGCAGAUAUCGGGAGGAACACCGGUGGCGAAAGCGGCACCCUGGGGUGCGCCUGACGCUGAGAGACGACAGCUAGGGGAGCGAACAGGAUUAGAGACCCUGGUAGUCCUAGCCGUAAACGAUGGAUGCUAGGUGUAGGAGUGAAGAGCUUCUGUGCCGCAGCGAACGCGAUAAGCAACCCGGCUGGGGAGUACGGCCGCAAGGUUUAAACUCAAACGAAUUGACCGGGGACCCGCACAAGCAUCGGAGCGUGUGUUUUAAUUCGAUGCUACACGAAGAACCUUACCUGGGAUUGACAUAUGGGUGGUAGUGAUCCGAAAGGAGAGCGACCCUUCGGGGAGCCUAUACAGCUGCUGCAUGGCUGUCGUCAGCUCGUGCCGUGAGGUGUCGGGUUAAGUCCCGUAAC
rnacentral:rRNA from 1 species